GCCUAGACGAUCUCAGCUUUUCUUUUUUACUUUCCCAUUUCAACAGUCAUAAAACUGGAGAAUUGGAUGGAGCUGAGAGUCAGCGGCCUCAGAGAAAUGGAGCAGCUGAGAGACUAUCCUGCCCAAAAAGGCAAGACAAGCUUCUUGAGUGGCUGGCCUAUACUAAGAAGGGUUUGCUGAAGGUUUCUCGGAAAGUUCACCCCUUGAAAAAGAGUUGCCGAAAGCCAUUCUUUUUCUCUCAUCACAGUGGGGAAGCGUGUAAAGUUGACUGCUGCGGACAGCCUUCCUCUAACUCUGGAUGAAGAAGGGGUUGGAUCUCAUGACAUCACUGCAACACUGGAUCGACCAGUCCUAAUGUCUGCCCUUCCUCUGGAUUUAAGUUUGAAUAAUAAACCUUCUACACUUGCUCACUCA